rnacentral:tRNA from 1 species
GGUGAUGUAGCUCAGUGGUAGAGCCCUUGCCUGGCAUGGAGGAGGCCUGAGGUUCAAGUCCCAGCACCA